CCAGAGGAGGAAGCCACGGCUAACUACGUGCCAGCAGCCGCGNUNNUACGUAGGUGGCAAGCGUUGUCCGGAUUUACUGGGCGUAAAGGAUGCGUAGGCGGAUACUUAAGUCAGAUGUGAAAAUCCCGGGCUUAACUUGGGAACUGCAUUUGAAACUGGGUAUCUAGAGUGCGGGAGNGGAAAGUGGAAUUCCUAGUGUAGCGGUGAAAUGCGUAGAGAUUAGGAAGAACACCAGUGGCGAAGGCGACUUUCUGGACCGUAACUGACGCUGAGGCAUGAAAGCGUGGGGAGCAAACA
rnacentral:rRNA from 1 species